UACGUAGGUGGCAAGCGUUGUCCGGAUUUACUGGGCGUAAAGAGCUCGUAGGCGGUUUGUCGCGUCUGCUGUGAAAACCCGAGGCUCAACCUCGGGCCUGCAGUGGGUACGGGCAGACUAGAGUGCGGUAGGGGAGAUUGGAAUUCCUGGUGUAGCGGUGGAAUGCGCAGAUAUCAGGAGGAACACCAAUGGCGAAGGCAGCUCUCUGGGCCGUAACUGACGCUGAGGAGCGAAAGCAUGGGGAGCGAACAGG
rnacentral:rRNA from 1 species